rnacentral:ncRNA from 1 species
UAUGAAACGUUGAUGAGAAGAGUAGCGAUGGCAUUUGUUAAAAGAGACCUCCGACUGGUGAAAAAGAGGAACAAAUAAAAUGGUGAAGAUGAACUCAGAGUUUUCGAUCAGGUUAACGCUUGAUUGACGGGUGUGACCGUUAUCUCACCAGGUUUUAUGGAAUAGAACUGUAGAGGUGUUACUUGUAAAAGUAGCAUAAAUUUGGGUGGUAACACGGAAUUCUCCGUCCCUUUG